rnacentral:lncRNA from 1 species
CUGAUUCAAGAACACAUUUCAUUAUGAAGUGGAGAGGGGAAAUCCCCCAAACUCCCUUAAGGCUUGAAAUCGCCAAUUACAUCUCCUUUUAUAAGGUUUACAACUUUGCAUUCUCAUAAACCUAAAUCUAAUGGAUAGAAAUGACUGAAUAUAAAUGGAUGGCCAGGAUGGAGAGUUGAGAUUGCAAUCUGUGUGAGAUGUCUUGAUUGGAGGAGAGCUAGUUGAUGUCUGAUUGGUUUAUUCAAACUGGUCAAAGGGAAGGCUGUUCUCCCAUUGGCUCCUUAUAGGCUCCCAUGUAUCAAGCCUUCAUUCAGACCAUGUUCAUGGUCGUGGCUCCCUUUGGCUUUACAGCCAAAGCCAGCCUGUCCAUCCUCCAAAGUAACCAAUCAGCUCCAUCUUUGCUCUCAUUGGCCGCUUGCCUCCACAAAGGAUCUUCUUGAUUCCCUUUUGAUGCUUCACGACCAGACUUCUUUUUAUCAGCCCUAAGUAUGCACAAAGUCUCCCGGACAUGUUCUGAUCAUGCCCUAAGCUUGCACAUCUUGUCCCGGACUUUGCACCACCUCAAAACAUCUCAAAUGGCCAAGUUGUGUUUCCUCGGGUUGUCUCGGUCCGUACGGAUCCGUACAGGUCCGUACCAUCCGUACAGCCUCGCCCUAAGUAUGCACACUUGCCCAUUUGCUCCCAAACACUCUUCUAAGUCCCUCCUGGACUUGGACCUAUCUUUGCACAGCCAUAUGAGCACUUCUGGACACCUUCAAACACUCCUAAAGUCUUCAUAGAUAAUCUCCGGAGGUCUUGCCCUAUUCUUGCUCAAGACUCAAUCUCAACUCAACCCUUCACCACUCCAUUUCUUUUCUUCAAGUCAACACUCCCCCUCAAGCUUGACUUUAGCUGAUCCUAAGUCAAGCUUGGAACCUUGAAGAACUUCCUCAUUAAAAACCUCACCAAGGAAAACCCUUUGGGACAAAACCUUGAUGAGGGAAAAAGAGUAAAGCCUCCAAGGCCUAGGGAUUGGCCAGUGAGUCUUUGUGCCUUACCAACAAUGUAAGGGACACAAAGACUCUGGAUCUCGGCCCCUUCUUGUGAUGCAAGGUAGAUCACAUCUUCUCUUGCUCAUCACUCUUCAUCUUGUAAUAGCUGAGCCUUGGCUGCUUCUUCUUCUAGAGUUUCCACCUUGUUCUAAAGCUUCAUGAUCGGAUGCCUCAGUCUGUAGUACCAAGGCUGCUCUGCUCUGGCCGCCUUGGAGAUUGCUUCACCAUCCUCCAUCUUGCUUCACAAACCGGUAUGCUCCUCUUCUUGAAUAACCGCCAAGUGCUCUCAUCAAGAAGCCUUCUCAACACUCCCCCUCAAGCUUGACCAUGUGGAACAAGUCAAGCUUGGAAGGAGAGCUUCUUGAUUCUCUACAUUUGCUCACUGCCGUCCACCUUCUUGAACCGGCACCUUUGUGAUCAUUUGAAGUCUUCUCAACACUCCCCCUCAAGCUUGACCAUGUGGAACAAGUCAAGCUUGGGAGAGCAGCUUCAUGAUCACACCAUCAGACCCUUGCAGCACCUUCUGAACUCGCCAUCUCCAUGGAAUGCUUGUGGAACCUUCAGCUCCCUCUUCAGACUGCUCACACUGGAAGCCGCCUUGAUAGAGUAGCUCCAUCAUCUUCACACAGCCGAGAGUGCUCUGAACACUCCCUUGUUCUUCCCACAGCCGGAUGACUCCUUUUCCAUCAGUUGCUUGCCAUGGUCUUCCUUCUUUGCUCACUUAACUCCCCUCCUCAAGCUUGGAUAGAAUGAGGGUCCAAGCUUGGAAGUGAGCAGCCGUGAGUCUUCACUAACCAGUGGCACAUCACCACUUCAGUAACCGCUCUCCAUUGCUCAUGACAAUGGGCAAUGCCUUCCUCUUUCUCUUGGAUUGGUGAUGAACUAAGAACACUUCUUGUAUACCUGAAACACCACUCAAACUCCAGAGAAGAUUAGACAUAGGUGCAUUGGGUCAGUCCUUGAUUCCACAUCAAGCUUGAACACCAAUGUCUCACUAAAGCAAUGCAAGAUCAAACAAGACACCCAAGUUUCAAAUCAUUGCAAGCUUAGCUCUCUAAGUUCUAGUAUGAUCCCACAGAUUCAUUACAAGACACUUAGGCAAUUUUAACUUCUGCCUUAACUGCAUCUUAGACUUGAAUCCAAGUGCAUCAACCUAAGGCAGCAACAACACUCUAAGCUUUAUUAUACUACUCGGUUUCAAUCAAUGAAAGUAAACAGGAUCAGACUCAUCUAGCAUCCUAUACAAUCAUUAUAGAACCGAGGCAAGCUUUUCAACUCUCAAUCACCAUUCACAACUCUCUAGUAUCUUGGGACAGAUUCUAAACAUUUCAUAUCUAGCAAUCUUUAAACAUCCACAAGUUUUCAAUCACAACACAACCUGUCAAUAUACUCAAGCUUUAUACAAAAGGAAAGAACUUUCUUACAGCCAAGGACCUUUGUAUAGAUCCUUGAUUCCAUUGGACAGAUUCUGAGUUGUUAGUGUGCACUCCAACGCCUCCAUCUUCCAUGGACCUUUCCUUUUGAACCACCAUGUCUUAGCUCCCACCUUUCUCCAUGUUGUACACGCCACACCAGUACAAGCAGCAAGCUUUCUUCUUGAGAAACUUCUUCUUGGACUUUGAAUAGCAAGAACCCGGAACUGGCUUUCUUAGAGAGGGUAGCUAAUCCGCUCCAUUGCCUUUGUUUCCUUGGAUCUUCUUUCUUCAAGGGCGACAUGGGAUGAUGAGGAACAGCAGCAGACAGCUUCUGGACUCCAGGAUGAACACGCCUGCCUCUUGAGGUGUUGAACAGCCGGAUAGAACAGACAGCUUCUUCUUGCUUCAAACGACAUGGGGAGAGCUUGGAGCUUCAGCGGAAGAAAGAACCAAGUUCACAUGAACCUGGCUCUGAUACCAUAUGAGAUUUUCAGAGAUCUCAGGUUGUGUGUGUGUAUAAGCUCCAAUGGAGCAAGCUGAGAAGAUUUGAGUUUGUUUUAGGUGAUUUUAGAGAGAGAGUUUAUAAGAGUGUUUAUGUGUUUACUUAAAUCAGAAACAAGAGACUUUGAGAGAUUAAGAGUAUAAGAAAGGGAGAGAUUAAAGGGAAUCUGAUUCAAGAACACAUUUCAUUAUGAAGUGGAGAGGGGAAAUCCCCCAAACUCCCCUUAAGGCUUGAAAUCGCCAAUUACAUCUCCUUUUAUAAGGUUUACAACUUUGCAUUCUCAUAAACCUAAAUCUAAUGGAUAGAAAUGACUGAAUAUAAAUGGAUGGCCAGGAUGGAGAGUUGAGAUUGCAAUCUGUGUGAGAUGUCUUGAUUGGAGGAGAGCUAGUUGAUGUCUGAUUGGUUUAUUCAAACUGGUCAAAGGGAAGGCUGUUCUCCCAUUGGCUCCUUAUAGGCUCCCAUGUAUCAAGCCUUCAUUCAGACCAUGUUCAUGGUCGUGGCUCCCUUUGGCUUUACAGCCAAAGCCAGCCUGUCCAUCCUCCAAAGUAACCAAUCAGCUCCAUCUUUGCUCUCAUUGGCCGCUUGCCUCCACAAAGGAUCUUCUUGAUUCCCUUUUGAUGCUUCACGACCAGACUUCUUUUUAUCAGCCCUAAGUAUGCACAAAGUCUCCCGGACAUGUUCUGAUCAUGCCCUAAGCUUGCACAUCUUGUCCCGGACUUUGCACCACCUCAAAACAUCUCAAAUGGCCAAGUUGUGUUUCCUCGGGUUGUCUCGGUCCGUACGGAUCCGUACAGGUCCGUACCAUCCGUACAGCCUCGCCCUAAGUAUGCACACUUGCCCAUUUGCUCCCAAACACUCUUCUAAGUCCCUCCUGGACUUGGACCUAUCUUUGCACAGCCAUAUGAGCACUUCUGGACACCUUCAAACACUCCUAAAGUCUUCAUAGAUAAUCUCCGGAG